UCAACUCAAAUUUGUAUGGAGUUGGAAAAGCUUCCCUUUGUUUGCCGCUAGGGGCGCUGUUCCGACCCCAUACAAAUUCAGUUA
rnacentral:pre_miRNA from 1 species